rnacentral:lncRNA from 1 species
UUAGUGAUUAAUAUUGUUGGUGGUGAUAAUUGUGAUAGUUGGUAUUGUAGUGACGGUUAUGAUGGUGGCGACUGAUGGUGGUGGUGGAUGUUGUGAUGUAACGUUGCUUGAUGUUAGUAGUUUAAGGUGUUGAUUGUGUUAGCUGAAACAUGAAUGCAUGAUGAUUGACGAUGUGUUGGUGCUAGUUGGAGAUGUUAUUUGUUGUGAUGGUGGAGAUGGUUGUUAGUAGAGAUAAAUUGUAGCGAUAGUACUAGUUGAAGUAGUGGUAGAGGUGGCAUUACUAGUGACAAUGGUGGUGACGGCCAAAGAAUGUGUAGAGGUUGUGAUGUAUUAGUGGUAGUUAGUGAUGGUGUUAGUUGUGAUAGAUGAGUUGGUUGGUACUAGGGAUUGGCCGCUAGUGGUUGCUGAUUGUGGUGUUGUUGACAGCAGCGGUGGUGGUGAAUAUAAUUAGAAUAAAAGAGGUAGUAGCUGUGGUAGCGGUUGACAAUUGUGGUUGGUAGCGGUAUUUUUUGUCGAUGGUGGUUGUGAUGGUGGAGGUGGUUGGUGGUGGUGGGUGGUGGUUGACAAUGGUGAUGGUGGCAGAAGUGGUUAGUGGUGGUAACUGUUGAUUAUGAAUAGAGUGGUGAAUAUUAUCCAACACCAGAAUAUCCCUUCAGACUUAUUAAGACUUGGUUCUAGAUCUGAAUGAUUAA